rnacentral:rRNA from 1 species
GUCCACACCGUAAACUAUGAGCGCUACCUGUCGGGAUUAUGUCUCGGUGGGCACAGCUAACGCGUUAAGCGCUCCGCCUGAGUAGUACGGCCGCAAGGCUAAAACUCAAAGGAAUUGACGGGGACCCGCACAAGCGGUGGAGCAUGUGGUUUAAUUCGAUGCUAACCGAGAAACCUUACCAAACCUUGACAUAACACCUUAAGUGUUUUCUUAAUCGAGACAUGUGGGCAACCUAGGUGUUACAGGUGAUGCACGGCUGUCGU